rnacentral:rRNA from 1 species
UAAUACGUAGGGAGCAAGCGUUGUUCGGAUUUACUGGGCGUAAAGGGCGCGUAGGCGGCGUGUCAAGUCGAUUGUGAAAUCUCCGGGCUUAACUCGGAACGGCCAAUCGAUACUGACGUGCUAGAGUGCAGAAAGGGCAAUCGGAAUUCUUGGUGUAGCGGUGAAAUGCGUAGAUAUCAAGAGGAACACCUGAGGCGAAGGCGGGUUGCUAGGCUGACACUGACGCUGAGUGCGCGAAAGCCAGGGGAGCAAACGGGAUUAGAUACCCCGGUAGUCCUGGCCCUAAACGAUGAAUACUUGGUGUCUGGAGUUUCAAUACUCCGGGUGCCGUCGCUAACGUUUUUAGUAUUCCGCCUGGGGAGUACGCUCGCAAGAGUG